UACGAAGGGGGCUAGCGUUGCUCGGAAUCACUGGGCGUAAAGGGCGCGUAGGCGGCCAAGUAAGUUGGGGGUGAAAGCCCGUGGCUCAACCACGGAAUUGCCUUCGAUACUGCUUGGCUUGAGACCGGAAGAGGUGUGUGGAACUGCGAGUGUAGAGGUGAAAUUCGUAGAUAUUCGCAAGAACACCAGUGGCGAAGGCGGCUCACUGGUCCGGAUCUGACGCUGAGGCGCGAAAGCGUGGGGAGCAAACAGG
rnacentral:rRNA from 1 species